rnacentral:lncRNA from 1 species
UAAAACACUACAGCCUCAAAGAGAUACUCAAUAUCAGUUCAGGUAUGACAAUGUCAUCCAACUCUUACUAAAGAAUCUUGUGGAUUCUAUGAACCAAAAGGCGAGGGAUAGACUUAUUAUGAAUAGUCUUCUUAGAAUCCACCGCUUUCUGAUCUAUCUAUGAAGGACAAAUAUCCACCGCUUGGGAACUUCAAAGUAUCAGUGCGCAUCCGAUUUUGUUUAUUGGAGAGGACAAAAUCACCAUUUAGAAUUUUUAUCACCAAAUGCAAUCCCGAAGAUCAUUCAGGGCAGGAAUAUUGACACCUCCAGUUACUCAAAGUAUUGCAGAAAUUCAAUUUCGGUCUUUUGUUGUUGAAAAGUUUUCGUGUGGCGUUUUCUUUCUUGUGUUUCUGGGAUUUUCUCGUAUAGUGAAGCUCAAUAGUAGCAUUUCUUGACUAGGAUACUUUCUGGAUGUUGUAGAGCUCUAUGGGUUUGAACUAAGAGAACCUUUUGGUCGGCGAAUUUGAUGAUGAAUAAUAAUUUACCCUUCCUUCCCAUAAGUACGAUAUUGUUAUUAAUAGAACUCUAUUUAAGGUGAAUGUCUAUCUUAUAAGAAGAGUCUUACUUCAAGGGUAAGUC